UGAUCAAAGCUAUCACAUUUUACAGGGCUGUCACUCACUCCACUAUUCUACUCCUCCCAAAAACAUGGCUGAAUUAAAAAAACACAGUUAAUUUGUGUUCCAGUAAAGAUGAAUCAGCAAAUCUCUUCAAGAUCAUCUUUUCUAGAUAAGAUCAACAUAACUGCGUCAAAACCUUAAAUCACCAAGUGUUGCCACUCAAGCCAGAUUCAAAAUGAGAAGCAAUGAUAACUCAAGUUUUGAGGGUCUUGGGCCGCUGACAGAAUGAGAUUAUACUUCUGGAAAAUUGUUAUAAAUAUAAGAAUAAAUGGAAGUAAUUUCCUCAUGCAGACUCACAAAGGGAUGAAAACACAAGCUACAAUCCUGUUGGAAACUGUAAUCAGAGUUUAAGAAAAUAAAGUCACUUAUCUGUGAAAGGUAAAGUGGGUAAGGGAGGGAAUACUGUUUUGCUUCUCAUAGCUUCUUUUAUUUCAGAAGGUGUUAGCUAUUGCCAAAGAGCUAUAAAGCAAGAAAACCAGGAAAAAACCCAAGAGAACAAGGAAGAAACAAUUACUCUUUAACUACUGAGUACAAGCACCCAUACUCCCUCUGCACAGGCAAUCAUCAAUCUGUCUGGAAGGACCCUUUUCAAACAUACUAGUCUCCUUUAAAAAAAAAAAAAAAAGUCAACAGUUCUGCAACCUUAAUAAAAAUAUUUCCAUGAGA